rnacentral:ncRNA from 1 species
AUAAACGAAAUUGAAGAACUGAGUAUUUGUUGGAAUUUCUAAGAGAAUCUCUGGUUGGUGUGAAGAGAUGAAACUAAAACAAAGAAGAUGGGUUCUAAAUCAAUCAUUAGUGAGCAUUUGUUAGCUAGUGGCGGGGUUGCUACCGAUAUCUUAGCAAAAUUGUUCUAAUCGAGACGCGUCAAUUGGAGCAGUUUUCUGAGGCAACUAUUAUUUUUUAUCGUAAUAGCUGUAAACUAAGGUGGUACCACGAAAGCAUUCGUCCUUUUU